rnacentral:rRNA from 1 species
GAUCCGGGGAUGUCCGAAUGGGGAAACCUAGCACCAGUCAUGUGGUGUUGCCGCCGUCUGAAUGUAUAGGGCGGUUGGUGGUAACGCGGGGAAGUGAAACAUCUCAGUACCCGUAGGAGAAGAAAACAAUUUAGUGAUUCCGUGAGUAGUGGUGAGCGAAAGCGGAGGAGGCUAAACCGUGCGCGUGUGAUAGCCGGCGGGCGUUGCGUGUGCGGGGUUGUGGGACCUUCCGGAGGAGACCGCCGUCUCUUCAGGCAGUGAGAAAUCGGUGGGGUAGUCGAACGCUCUGGGAAGGGCGGCCGUAGACCGUGAUAGCCGGGUAGGCGAAAUCUUGCCGACUGUUGGGAGUGUUCCCGAGUAGCACGGGGCUCGAGAAAUCCUGUGUGAAUCUGCCAGGACCACCUGGUAAGCCUAAAUACUUCCUGAUGACCGAUAGUGAACGAGUACCGUGAGGGAAAGGUGAAAAGCGCCCCGGUGAGGGGUCGUGAAAUAGUACCUGAAACCGUGUGCCUACAAGCCGUAGGAGCGUAAACGGGUUCGCCUGUUUGUGAUGUGACUGCGUGCCUUUUGAAGAAUGAGCCUGCGAGUUAUGGUGUGUGGCGAGGUUAACCCGUGUGGGGGAGCCGUAGCGAAAGCGAGUCUGAAUAGGGCGUUUGAGUCGCAUGCUGUAGACCCGAAGCGGGGUGAUCUACGCAUGGGCAGGUUGAAGCGUGGGUAAGACUGCGUGGAGGACCGAACCCACCAGGGUUGAAAACCUGGGGGAUGACCUGUGUGUAGGGGUGAAAGGCCAAUCAAACUCCGUGAUAGCUGGUUCUCCCCGAAAUGCAUUUAGGUGCAGCGUUACGUGUUGCUUGCCGGAGGUAGGGCUCUGGAUGGCUGAUGGGCCCGACAAGGUUACUGACGUCAGCCAAACUUCGAAUGCCGGUAAGUUGAGCGUGGCAGUGAGACUGCGGGGGAUAAGCUCCGUGGUCGAGAGGGAAACAGCCCAGAUCACCGACUAAGGCCCCUAAGCGUGUGCU